rnacentral:misc_RNA from 1 species
GGAGAACUCGAUUGAAAGUUUUGGACGAAGAAAUGUUAUAGAGCAAUUCAUCGGAAUCUGUACAGCGACGAGUGCUUACAACGCCGGCGGAAAUUUUCUGGUGGUUUCCUUAUCUCCAUUCUCGCGCACAGGCAUUGCUAAUUCGGCUACUCGUGUUCCACUUCCAUAGAAAGCAAGCUUCUACCGGCAAGGACUGCCGUGUAUUCGGCGAGAUGAGGAGCCUAAAAAAAUGCUCUGGUGAAGAUGUGGCGUAUCAUUUGCUAGUCACAGUAGUAGCAGCUGUAUUGUUGCAAGCAAUCGGAGCUUUUUCAGUUGCCACACCAAAUACUGGUUGCUAUGCUCUGGAUAACUCCAGCCAUAUUCAUGAUUUUAGUAGUUGGAUUGGACAACCAUUUGAGUAUGAGGGGAAGGGGAAGGAUGCUGACUUGGUGGUUCGAUUUUGCAAAGAUGUUGAGUCUAGAUCGCAAGCGGGAUAUGUGGACUAUGGCAGAUUUGAUAAACUCAACUUUUUUCGUGCUGGGUCAGGACAUGUCAGCUUCAUUCAGGAAUAUUUUAAUGGUGACCUGAUGAACUGUGAGCAGAGUUAUGAUAAGAUGGGCCGAACAGCUAAGGUCAAUAUUAUAUGUGGAAACUGCCCUCAUGGACAAUGCAAAGGCGGACUUGGAUGCAUCUGCAAUGUUGAAUAUGAGUCUGCUUGUAGAACUGUCGUCGAACUUGCCGUUCCAUGUGAGAAACCAGGUCUGCGCGUCUUUGAAGGUUUCACUGUUGGUUUUCAUCCACGGUCAUGGGAAAUUGUUUACAAUGGC